UACGUAGGGGGCGAGCGUUGUCCGGAUUCAUUGGGCGUAAAGAGCUCGUAGGCGGCUUGGCAAGUCGGAUGUGAAAACUCCAGGCUCAACCUGGAGCCGCCAUUCGAUACUGCUAUGGCUAGAGUCCGGUAGGGGAGUGUGGAAUUCCCGGUGUAGCGGUGAAAUGCGCAGAUAUCGGGAGGAACACCAGUGGCGAAGGCGGUUGCCUGGGGCUUUGCUGACGCUGAGGCGCGAAAGCGUGGGGAGCGAUCCGG
rnacentral:rRNA from 1 species